rnacentral:tRNA from 1 species
GCCGCCGUAGCUCAGCUGGUAGAGCAUCUGAUUUGUAAUCAGGUGGUCGGGGGUUCGAGUCCCUCCGGCGGCACCA